AAAUUGUGCAGUGCUAUUUAAUAUAAUUUUCAAUAAAUAAUAAUUUUAUUUUUUUCUCUUUUAAUUUUGCCACAUCUUCAAUUUCGUCGUUGCUGUAAAAUUUUCAGUUUUUAAGGGUUAGCGAUUUGGUUAGAGAAUUAAAAGAAAAAAAAUGGGAUCAGAAGGCGAUUCAAAUUCGAAUUCUAACGAUUCAGCUCGUGGUGGCGAGGGUGAAGGAGUUGCGAUAAAUAUUAGGUGCGCUAACGGUUCAAAGUUUACGGUGAGGACGAGCCUUGAAUCGACGGUGGAGGCUUUUAAAGCUGUUUUGGCUCAGAAUUGUGAUGUUCCAGCUGCUCAGCAACGCCUGAUUUAUAAGGGUCGCAUUUUGAAGGACGAUCAAACCCUUCAAAGCUAUGGCUUGGAAGCUGGUCACAAUGUCCACAUGGUUCGUGGAUUUGCCCCAGCUACUUUGGUGUCCUCUGCUGUUAGUGCAAACACAGAAAUUUCUAAUACUGCACCACGUGUUACACAUGGUGUUAGCUCUGAUGGAAGUGGGGGUCUUGGUGCAUCUUUGUUUCCUGGACUUGGAUUAAAUGCAUUGGGUGGGGAUGACCCUUCUGGGUUGCUUGGACUUGGGAACCCAGCAAUGGAACAAAUGCAGCAGCAGUUAAUGCAGGACCCAAGCAUGAUUAUAGAAAUGAUGAACUUGCCUCCCAUUCAAAACCUAAUGAAUAGUCCUGAGCUAAUGCACAGUUUGAUUAUGAACAGUCCUCAAAUCCGUGAUAUUGUUGAUCGUAACCCAGAGCUUGCGCAUGUACUCAAUGAUCCUGGCAUUCUUCAACAGACAUUAGAAGCUGCAAGGAACCCAGAACUGAUGCGUGAGAUGAUGCGAAACACAGACAGGGCAAUGAGUAAUAUUGAGUCUACCCCCGAAGGAUUCAACAUGCUUAGGCGUAUGUAUGAAAAUGUUCAAGAGCCUUUCCUAAAUGCUACAACAGUGGCUGGAAAUGAUUCAAGGUCAAACUCAUUUGCAGCUCUCUUUGGGAACCAGGGUGGUGCACAGCCCAGGGAUGUUUCCGACAACCCUCCCGUGAAUGGUUCUGAGACAGCUACUGGGCUGAAUGCCCCAAAUACUAACCCACUUCCUAACCCUUGGAGCAAUUCUGGUGUAGGGAUGCAAACAAAUGCCACUGCAAGGUCAGAUCCUGCUGCGGAUGCAAGGGGACCAGGAACUGGUGAUUUUGGAGGGCUUGGUCUUUCUGGUACAGAUCAGGUGGUUAGUGGUAUGCCUGAUAUUUCUCAGUUGAAUCAGUUGUUGCAAAAUCCAGCUAUAUCACAGAUGAUGGAGAGUCUUCUCUCCAAUCCACAAUAUAUCAAUCAAAUUCUUAAUCCCAACUCCGAACAAGGUGGUAUGUUUAAUUUGAAUAACCAAAUGAGGGAAAUGAUGCAAAACCCAGAACAACUUCGUCAAUUAUUGUCCCCUGAGACAAUGCAGCAAAUAUUGGCUAUGCAACAGUCAAUUCUAUCGCAGGUCAAUCAGUGGCAAUCAACCCAUUCCAGUAAAAUAGUGCUGUUUUCCACAGCUCUGAUUGUUGUAACCCUUGCCACUCAAUAUGUGCUGCUCGCUUUGUUUCAGGCAACCAGCUCAGACUGGUGACACUGCAGGGUCGAAUAAUUCCGAGCUCGAGAUGUUGAUGAACAUGUUUAGUGGUCUUGGAGUUGCUGGCUUAAGUGUUCCAAACCAACCUAAUGUACCCCCUGAAGAACUGUAUGCUACUCAAUUGUCUCAGCUUCAAGAAAUGGGUUUCUUUGACACUCAAGAGAAUGUUAGGGCAUUGCGUGCUACUUCAGGAAAUGUCCAUGCUGCAGUUGAGCGACUUUUGGGAAAUUCUGGCCAGUAAUUGUGAAGUUUCAUGGUCUUUAAGUUUGUCGAUGACACAUUUGAACAUGGUGUUUUCUCAAGCGACAAACCUUUAGCAGGCACUUGCUGGUUCUAUUUUAGGCAAGUGCAUGCCAUGAUAGACUUGCAAACUUGUCAAUUGUACACCUGUUCCUACUCGGCGGUGUUUGCACCCGAACAUCCCUUACUGUCAUCCUAUCCUCGCCAUCUCUCUCCCUUGAAAUGUUUUAUGUAUCUUGUUAACAAGUUCAAGGAUAAUUAUGGAUUUGUCUUGUUGAAGUUAGAUUAUGUAUUUUUUCCUUCAUUUAGUAAGAGGACCAUUUUGAACUCUUGGCCAUCAAGAAUUGAAUCAUUUGAUA